rnacentral:rRNA from 1 species
AGAGUUUGAUCGUGGCUCAGAACGAACGCUGGCGGCGUGGCUAAGGCAUGCAAGUCGAACGGAUGUUGUCCCUUCGGGGGCAAUGUUAGUGGCGGACGGGUGAGGAAUACAUGGACAACGUACCCUGGACUCGGGGAUAGCGGCGGGACUUCGGUUCCUUUGCGAAAGCGCCGGUAAUACCCGAUGACCCCACGGGACCGCAUGAUCCUGUGGGCAAAGUUCCGGCGGUCCGGGAGCGGUCCAUGUCCCAUCAGCUUGUUGGUGGGGUAACGGCCUACCAAGGCGGCGACGGGUACCGGGUGUGAGAGCACGACCCGGCACAUCGGGACUGAGACACUGCCCGGACACCUACGGGUGGCUGCAGCAACGAAUAUUCCGCAAUGGGCGAAAGCCUGACGGAGCGACGCCGCGUGCAGGAUGAAGUCUUUCGGGAUGUAAACUGCUGUCAGGGGUCAGAAAGAUCUGAUCAACCCCAAAGGAAGCCUCGGCUAACUCCGUGCCAGCAGCCGCGGUAAUACGGAGGAGGCAAGCGUUGUUCGGAAUCACUGGGCUUAAAGCGGGUGUAGGCGGAAUGGCAGGUGUCCUGUGAAAGCCCUCGGCUCAACCGAGGAACCGCAGGGCAAACCGCCAUUCUUGAGGCAGGUAGAGGCAAGUGGAACUAUGGGUGGAGCGGUGAAAUGCGUAGAUAUCCAUGGGAACGCCAGUGGCGAAAGCGGCUUGCUGGGCCUGUCCUGACGCUGAGACCCGAAAGCGUGGGUAGCAAACAGGAUUAGAUACCCUGGUAGUCCACGCCGUAAACGAUGCGCACUAGGUACGAGAGCUCUGACGGCGUUCGUGCCGAAGCAAAAGUGUUAAGUGCGCCGCCUGGGGAGUACGGCCGCAAGGCUAAAACUCAAAGGAAUUGACGGGGGCUCACACAAGCGGUGGAUUAUGUGGUUUAAUUCGAUGAUACGCGAGGAACCUUACCAAGACUUAAAUGGGAAUUGACAGAUUUAGAAAUAGAUCCUCCUUCGGGCAAUUUUCAAGGUGCUGCAUGGUUGUCGUCAGCUCGUGCCGUGAGGUGUUAGGUUAAGUCCUGCAACGAGCGCAACCCCUGUCACUAGUUGCCAUCAUUCAGUUGGGGACUCUAGUGAGACUGCCUACGCAAGUAGAGAGGAAGGUGGGGAUGACGUCAAAUCAUCACGGCCCUUACGUCUUGGGCCACACACGUAAUACAAUGGCCGGUACAGAGGGCAGCUACACAGCGAUGUGAUGCAAAUCUCGAAAGCCGGUCUCAGUUCGGAUUGGAGUCUGCAACUCGACUCUAUGAAGCUGGAAUCGCUAGUAAUCGCGCAUCAGCCAUGGCGCGGUGAAUACGUUCCCGGGCCUUGUACACACCGCCCGUCAAGCCAUGGAAGUCUGGGGUACCUGAAGUCGGUGACCGUAACAGGAGCUGCCUAGGGUAAAACAGGUAACUAGGGCUAAGUCGUAACAAGGUAACCA